GGGUGGGUGGCAGAGUGGUUGAUUGCACCGGUCUUGAAAACCGGCGGGCGUGAGAACGUCUCGGGAGUUCGAAUCUCCCCCCACCCGCCA
rnacentral:tRNA from 1 species